rnacentral:rRNA from 1 species
GAUGAACGCUGGCGGCGUGCCUAAUACAUGCAAGUCGAGCGAAUGGAUUAAGAGCUUGCUCUUAUGAAGUUAGCGGCGGACGGGUGAGUAACACGUGGGUAACCUGCCCAUAAGACUGGGAUAACUCCGGGAAACCGGGGCUAAUACCGGAUAACAUUUUGAACCGCAUGGUUCGAAAUUGAAAGGCGGCUUCGGCUGUCACUUAUGGAUGGACCCGCGUCGCAUUAGCUAGUUGGUGAGGGAACGGCUCACCAAGGCAACGAUGCGUCGCCGGCGUGGGAGGGUGAUCGGCCACACUGGGACUGGAACACGGCCCAGACUCCUACGGGAGGCAGCAGUAGGGAAUCAUCCGCAAUGGACGAAAGGCUGACGGGGCAACGCCACGUGAGUGAUGAAGGCUUUCGGGUCGUAAAACUCUGUUGUUAGGGAAGAACAAGUGCUAGUUGAAUAAGCUGGCACCUUGACGGUACCUAACCAGAAAGCCACGGCUAACUACGUGCCAGCCGCCGCAGUAA